UGGGCGGGAGGAGCGCGGAGCCAAGACCGGCUCUGCUGCGUCUGCUCAGGCUGCGAAUUCCCCGCUCUGAGGACUCGCCUCGCAGAGCUCACCCAGGGGGACUCUCCGCAGCCCCGGAUGGGUGUGUGUGUCAGACCGUUUACUGAACUUCAGGACUGUGGCAGGCGGGUGUAAGAAAUACAGCCAUGUUGAACCAUGAAAGGACCUCAGGAAUGAAAGCCACACACAGCAAAGCAACAAGAUAAAAGAGGCAUGAGUUCCUAAUGCAAGAGGCACUGAACCAAUCAAUACCCACUGCCCUCCAGACCUCUGCAUGAAAGAAAAAAAACUACCGUCCUGUGAAGAAGACACUCUCCAGAUGCCAGCAACUUGAUAUUGGACUUCCCAGCCUUCAUAACUGUGA